UACGUAGGGGGCGAGCGUUGUCCGGAUUUAUUGGGCGUAAAGAGCUCGUAGGCGGUUGGGCAAGUCGGGCGUGAAAACUCAGGGCUCAACUCUGAGACGCCACUCGAUACUGCCCUGACUCGAGUCCGGUAGGGGAGCGUGGAAUUCCCGGUGUAGCGGUGAAAUGCGCAGAUAUCGGGAGGAACACCAGUGGCGAAGGCGGCGCUCUGGGCCGGAACUGACGCUGAGGAGCGAAAGCGUGGGGAGCAAACAGG
rnacentral:rRNA from 1 species